UCCUGCCAGUAGUCAUACGCUCGUCUCAAAGAUUAAGCCAUGCAUGUGUAAGUAUAAAUAAUUCUACUUUGAAACUGCGAAUGGCUCAUUAUAUCAGUUAUAGUUUAUUAGAAAGAAUGUACUACUUGGAUAACCGUAGUAAUUCUAGGGCUAAUACAUGAAUGAAUCCUCGACUUUGAAGAGGUGUGUUUAUUAGUAUGAAAACCAUAUGCUUUGGCAUAAUAGUGAGUAAUAAUAACCUUUCAUAUCGUAUGUUGAUAUAACGAUAGUUCUUUCAAGUUUCUGCCCUAUCAGCUUUCGAUGGUAGUGUAUUGGACUACCAUGGCAGUAACGGGUAACGAAGAAUUUGGGUUCGAUUUCGGAGAGGGAGCCUGAGAGAUGGCUACCACAUCCAAGGAAGGCAGCAGGCGCGUAAAUUACCCAAUCCUGACAUAGGGAGGUAGUGACAAUAAAUCACAAUGCGGGACUAUUUAGUUUUGCAAUUGGAUUGAGAACAAUGUACAAGAGUUAUCGAUAAACAAUUGGAGGGCAAGUCUGGUGCCAGCAGCCGCGGUAAUUCCAGCUCCA
rnacentral:rRNA from 1 species